rnacentral:rRNA from 1 species
CUACGGGCUGCUCCAGUGGGGAAUAUUGCACAACGGAGGAAACUCUGAUGCAGCAACGCCGCGUGGAGGAUGACACUUUUCGGAGCGUAAACUCCUUUUAUAUAGGAAGAAGAUGACGGUACUAUAUGAAUAAGCGCCGGCUAACUCCGUGCCAGCAGGCCGCGGUAAUACGGAGGGCGCAAGCGUUACUCGGAAUCACUGGGCGUAAAGAGCGUGUAGGCGGAUUAAAAAGUCAGAAGUGAAAUCCUAUAGCUUAACUAUAGAACUGCUUCUGAAACUCUUAAUCUAGAAUAUGGGAGAGGUAGAUGGAAUUUCUGGUGUAGGGGUAAAAUCCGUAGAGAUCAGAAGGAAUACCGAUUGCGAAGGCGAUCUACUAGAACAUUAUUGACGCUGAGACGCGAAAGCGUGGGGAGCAAACAGGAUUAGAUACCCUAGUAGUC